GGGCAAGUGGCGGAACUGGCAUACGCGAUGGCCUUAGGAGCCAUUUCCUUCCGAGGAUUGGGGGUUCAAAUCCCUCCUUGCCCACCA
rnacentral:tRNA from 1 species